rnacentral:lncRNA from 1 species
GCUGCGCCCACACCCAGAACAAGCGGCGGGACCCAGGCAGAGAGUUAGGCCACGGACCAGUUACCUCCUUGCUACUACGAGAAGGAUUGUCCUUCCAAACGGUCUUUUCAGGAAACACCCAAAUAGGGCAUUGAAACAAACCAAAGUAGGACAGAAAAGUAACAGCUUUGAGUGUCGCUUUUCAGGUGCAUACAACUCCAUUCACCAGUCCUGAGCCAAGACCUUAACGCCAAUAACGCCAAACGCCUCGGGAGAGCGCAGCCGCUGCAGCUGACCCUGAUCCGCCGCUUCUGGAGAUCUGGGCCCACCCUUCUCAUCGCCGCGCUCCAGCUGUGUUUCUCGACUUCCCUUCGAGGCCAAGUAAAUUGGGAAGCUUCCAGAAAUGGACGAAGUGUCGUAAGGUUUGUGAAAGCAGCUCUGGAAGACCAUCGGCCAUUUCUGAAAUGUUCCACUGAGCGCACCUCGGAAGGGGAAGUUGCCCCUCAGGUCCAAGGAGUUCAGAGACAGAGCCACACACCGUUUGUAUCAGUGUUGGUUUCCCCAUUUUUGGCCAACAAGUAAAACGAUCAGACUGGUGAAAGGGAGAGCAGGCCACUCCGUGGUGGCUGGAAAAUGGUAAGAGCCGCCUGUUCGCGCCAGAGGAGGAAUGGACAGUUCACAGCAUGACAUUUGCAGUGGGGGUGUCGCUCAGGUCGAGCUCUAGGCCACGAUGCCACCCCCAGCACCCCCAAACGAACUAAAGAUGGAAAGAAAAAUGACUUGAACUUUUUUGUUUGUUUGUUUGGUACCAGGGAUCAAACUCAGGUCCUUGCGCUUGCAAGGCGGGCAGCGGAACCACUGAGCUGAAUCCCCGGCCCGAAUUAAACAUUGUUUAAACAGUGACGCCUCAUCCUUUGGUCCCAAAGACUGGCCAGGUGUGACAAAGAAGUAAAUGCAAACCUUGAGCCCGCAGCAGACCAAGCAGAAGACAGGAGCAGCAGUGGUGGAGGGGCCAGGAGGGAGGAGCCUGACGCAUUUCAACGACAGACACAGAAACGAAAUAACAAAACCUGGGAAGAGUUUUUCCUUCGCCCGUUGCUCUGACCAAAGCCCUCGCCAGCUGCCAGCGAUGGUCUCCCACUCAGCACCAGCCCUGUGCUGAGCUUCUGUGUCCACAGUGCCCCUCACUGUCACGGUGACCCUGGUCGGGGUCCCCAUUUGACAGACGCGAACCAGGAGGCACCCUGGCUAAUAGCUUCUUUCUCCUGAAAAUGCCAUUUCAAAGCCCUGC